GCCCCAAAAAUAAAGAUUUCACUAUAAUUAAUAUUUGUACCAUGAUAAAAAAAAAAAAACUAAUACAAAAAGAAUUAAAGCUCUUCUUUGAAUAUCAUUCCCGAUGAGUAUUCUCGAGAACCUAUACAAAUACUUGUAAUAAAAAUAUUAGUAACAAAUAAAUAAUUAUUGAAAUAAAUUGAGAACUAUGUGUACAUACAUGUAUAAAAAAAUAUAAUUUUUCGUUAACGGAUGGGCUCAGAUUAGAUUUUGAAUAUGACAUGGCUACGAAGUGGUUGCUGAUUUAUUAGUCAUCCUAAAUCGUUUUGCCACGAUACGAAUCAUAAGACUUUCUGUGUUGUUAUAAAAAUUUCGCCAUCGCCCAAAUUUAUUUAUUUUAUUAUGUAUUUAUACACAUAAUAUUUAUGUUUUAUUUGUACAGGCCUCGAAAAUCGAGGGAAAAUUUUUUCAUCAGCCAAGCAUAUGUUGUACUGUUCAUUGCCAGUAUUUUCCCUAGAAUAAUCAUCCUACAAUAUUAAAAAAAGAGGUCAGCAAGCUAAACAAUGAAAAACACUGCACAAAGACACAACAAAGCCAAACAUCAAUAAUGCAGCACAAGCAGGGUCAGUGAGUAAUAUUAUCCAAAAAUUAUACUAAAUCAUCAAAAAAAAUCAAAACUGCCCGGCAAAAUAGUUAGAAAACAUAUAAGAACACUAAAACACAUUUAAGCAUAUAUGAAAAAUUAUAAAAGGGCAAAAAUCGGGUUGCCGAUUUUAAUGAAGCUUCGCCGAAAAAUUUAAUUCUGGCCAUAUCUGUGAUAAACGGGGAGGGAGCGUUGCUUCCAUGGCAAAUGUCAGAGCAACAGCGGAGAAGCAUAAACAUGGCCAGAUCUAGCCAUUUUUUGAUCUAAACUGUGGCAAAAGGGGAGAGGGGAAGAGGAAGGAGGGUGGUGGUGCGGCUGGUGAGGGGGAAAGGGAGAGAAAGGGGGAGGUAGUGAUGGUGGUGGCUCGCCGGGGAUCGGCGGUGGAGUAGCCAUGGAUGGUGCAGGAAGGAGAAAAUGCCUUAGUUUUUGAAAGAAAGAGAGACGUGAGUUUGAGAGAGAAGAUCUGAUUUGGGAAUAUUGGGGUGUAUUUUUUGUGUUAAAGAAAAUAAGUGCCCCUCAUCUAUUUAUAAAAAAAAAAAAUACCUUCUUUUAUCCAAAAAAUAAAAUUAUCCCCUUUAACAAUUAAAUAAUAUAUCAUUAACCAAAGGGUAAAACAUUUAAUUAGUCAUCCCAAUUGUCAUCUUAAAAUAAAAUUGGCAUGAUUUUGACUUGAUUGAUUUGUUGUUCUGUGUAUUAAAAUACUAAAGUCGACAUUAUCGUUUGCAGAUUGUAUUAAAUAAUACACAAAAAUAUAAAUAUCGAUAUAAAAUUACAGAAAAAUGCAAAUAACAAAUAUAAAAUAAUUAUCUUUACAAAAUAUAUAUUACGCUACAAAUAAUUAAAAUUAUAAUGUGUAAAAGAAUUGCGGUGUUAUGUUAUGUACGUAUGUAGAUGAUUGUACAAAAAUAUUAAAAUGAUAAUAAAUUGAUAAAAAUUCUAAAAUUUAUGAAAUUAAGGAUAAUUAUCAAUAAAUUAUGCAAUGUUAAAAUGUGACAAUAAAUUGUUAAAAAAUUUAAAAUAAUAAUGAUUAUCAAUAAUUUAUUAACAAUUGCAAAUAAAUAUACAAAAAAUUACAUUUUAUGUCAUUUAACGAUCAGGGAGCUUAAAUGCCUUAAUUUUAUGUCUGGAGAGUCAAAAUUGGGUGUCAAUAGUUUGCCCCUUUUCGUUUGAAGAAGAUAUAAAAGUCUUCAGACGAAAAUGUUGAUGUGUAGCCAAUUUUGCUCGAUAAAAAAUUAUUUUGACAAAAAAAAUCAAGCGAACUCUAAUUUAGAGUUGUUAUCUCAAUAUAUUCUAUUUUAGGGUGGACGAACCCAAUGUGUACUCAAAUUUUAUGCUUCCAAAAUUAAUAAAACUGAAAAAUAGUACUUAAUAAAGGCAAACGAGUAACUAAGCUUGAUUUUUUCAAGAAAUUCAAAAAAAAUGGCAUGUAGUGUUUAACUAGUAGAGAUAAUGCAUCAAAAACCCCCCUAAACUUGUUACUGCAACUUACUUUAGCACUUAAACUUAACACACGUUUAUUUACCCCCCUUAAAAACUUCAAACUAUAUUAUUUUCACCCUCUCGUCCCUGCAACUAAGGCACGUGUUUCUCCAUCAAAUCAAAGCGCGUAGAAGGUUAAAAUUUAACCAAAAAAAGGAAUAAAAGUCGAGGCAACGGUAAUAUUUCCCUCAAAUUCAAUCAGAAUCCUAAUUUCUCUUUCUUUUCUCGUCUUCUUCAUCUUCAAUCAAGACAAGAUUUGAAAUUCCUUAGAAAAUCAAGCCCAUUACUUUAUUAUAAGAUAUAAUUCCUCUCUUCUUUUAAAAAAAUUAUGCUUUCUUAUAAAUUUUUUUCUAUUUGAUGUAAUUUUUUGGAGUGAAUUCUUUGUAGCACAUCAUGAGAUCAACUAACUUGAGUAAGAUUUGUAUGGAGGAGGACGAUAUUGCUUUGAACCAAGAGGUUUGAUGGAAUUGGAUUUGUGGUGCCUUUGAAGACAUCUUAGACUUCGACGAAUUCCGGUAGAAGAUAUUGAGCUUGUAAUUACUAUGGGGUAAAGAUGAUAUUUUGCUCCCAAUUUCUCAUUCUUUUUAUUGCAACUGAUUCAAUUGAAUUUUAAUUUUUUCCUUUUAAUCAUGGAGAUUUUUGAUUUUGGAGGGAUAAAAAAUACAGAUUCGAGGUCCAAAUUUGUAAUCCCUAAAUUGAUUGAAAAAUUAGGUAAGCUUGAGAAUUUAGUGGAAUCAUCGCAAUAUAACAAGUCUACUUCAUUCAAUAAAGUUAGAAAAUUGAUUGCAAAAACUUCUGAAGAAGUUGAUAAGCCUAGAGCAUCCAAAGAAGAUGAUAAUUGUGUAGAUAUGAAGUUGAAGAAGCUGGAAGAAGAGAUUGAGAAGAGAGAAGAAGUGGAGAAGUAACAUGGCUAAAGGAACGACUAAGGAUAAUGCACUGUUUAUCAUUGUGUUUUGUUAUUGUAUUGUUGUUAUAGCUACUAGUUAUUGGUUGGGGAUGAUCUACUUAACGAAAGACUCAAUAAAAUUACCUUAGAAUUUAGUGUUCUUAGUUGGUAUUAUGGUGUGUAUCAUCCUUUAUUUUGAAAUGAAUUUGGUCUAAUGUAAUUAUUCUUGACCUAUUUUUAGUGUAAUGUAGUUCUUUAUCUUUACAUUGUAUUUGGAAUUAAGUAAAUUUUGUUAGGUCUUGUGGGAUGAUAAUUUAAUGUAAUGUUUUCUUCUGGGAUUACAAAUGGAAUGUUGUUUUUCUUAUUGGACUGUCAAACAUGAUUCAAUUGAAUUCUGCAUAUAUAUGAUAGUGCAGUCACAGCUGCAUAUAUAUAGUUUCAUAGUGAUAUGAUAGCUACAUAUAUACCAAAGAACAUCAAAUAUAUACCAAAGUAGUCAAAAGAGAAAAAAUAGGCAUCAAAAUAGUGCAGUCACAGUUGCAUAUAUACCAAAGAUUGUGAAUACAUUAUAGUCACAACUGCAUAAUUGUUUGACAAAAUAGAUUAAGUUAGUGCACACACAGCUGCAUAAUUAACAGAGAACAAUAUUACAUUGCAGUCAAAGCUGCAUAAUUGUUUGACAAAAAAGAUUAAGUUAGUGCAGUCACAGCUGCAUAAUUAACAAAGAACAAUAUUACAUUGCAGUCAAAGCUGCAUAAUUGUUUUUCAAAAAGACAAUAGAACUUCAUUAAUAAUUCAUCAAAACUAAUGCAGUCACAGCUGCAUACCAUUCACUACUGCAUCUUCAACUAGACAGUUGAUAAGCCUGUUUGGCUCAUAUUUAUUUCGACAGUUUUGGACCUUGUCUUCAUUCUUUUUUGUGCUCUUAUUUCUUGAAGUCCUUAUUGGGUCACAAUAUUUUUUCCUUUCCAUUUGACACCUGAUCUUGGCUUGUGAUGCCCAAGAUUUCCAGUCACUAUAGAGGAGUUCAAAGGCAUUCCAGGCUGCAUUAACACAAGAAUAAAUUAUCUUAGACAUUUGAUCAUUUGCUUGAAAAUUGAAAAUUAUGAAACCAUUCAACUUACAUUGUGGAUUGUAAACACUCUGUGUAUGUAGCACUCCCAUACCAACCAAUCUUGGCAUUUUAAAAGUUGUACCAUUACCCCUACCAGCAACACCACCAACAUUAGAUAUAACAACAACAGAAGUUCCUCUACCCCUUCUAGCAACACCAACAGUCCCUCUACCCCUUCCCUGCACCAAUAGUUCCUCUACCUCGUCCAGAAACAACAAUAGUCCCUAUACCCCUUCAAGCAACACCUACAGUCCCUCUACCCCUUUUAGUAGCAUCAACAGUCCCUCUACCUCUUUCAGCAACACCAACAUACCCUCUACCGCUUCCGGCAACACCAGCAAUCCCUCUACCUCUUCCAGUUACACCAACCAUAUUUAGAGCAGAAGCAGCAGCAGUCUAUUAUAAAAUAAAAAAUUAUUUAAUAAGAAUAAAUAGUAAAUAAAAAAGCCAAAUGAUUACCUAUUUUGUAGAACCCUAAGGUCUUCCUCUUCCUCUACUUGUGCUUGGUUGAGAUUCAGUUGCUGCUGCAGAAGAACCAACACUUGACAUUGUUGAAGUUUUCCCUCUUCCUCUACCAGUAGUAGCUUUUGCAUUCAAAGGACCAACCCUCUUAUUAUGGCCCUUAGCAUGACACUUGCUGCAGGUCAUCUCAACACCCUUUUUAGACAAUGUACCUAUCUUGUUUUCAGACUGCUCUUUCCUUCUAUUCUUACUAGGUCUGCCUGGUAGUUUUCUAGUUUCAGGAGGUAUAAUAGGAAGGUUACUUUAUGGUGGCCACAUUUUCAUUCCAGUGACAGGUUGAAUGAAGUAGUUAUAGGUCUUGAGGUAGGUUUGUUUGCUAUACCAAUGUGCAACAUAGUGAAUAGGCUCCAAUCUUCUAAAAUGUAGUGCAGCUAUAGCAUGAUAGCAAAGUAUACUCUUUAGUAUCCAAGAUCUACAAGUACAAGUGUUGUUACUCAAAUUCACUAUGAAGGUAUUACCGCAACUGUCCUUAACCUCAAAACCAUAUUCACCAUUCCAUUCAACUGUACACUUUAUUGAUUUUGAUGUGUUCUCUUUCAAUACCUUUCAAGCCAUUGGUGAAAUAUCUAUUAUCCAAGUAUUAGAGAACACCCUCAACUGUCCAAUUCUUCUCAUUAUUUUAAUCCGUAUUUCCUCAAGCAUUGUAAUGAUGGUCUUGUGUUUUGGACCCAAUAUCCAUGAAUUAAAACUUUCAGCUAUGUUGUUGUCAACACUAUCACAACAAUAUAAAUUUUUGAAGUAGACCUUAGACCAUCUUUCAAUGUUGUACCACAGUAGGUCAUCUACUAUCUUGUCACCUAACAUCUCCAUAUGAUCUAGAUUUUUUGUCAACUCUUGCUCAUAUGUAGACUUGGCACAUCUCCAAAAAUAAUUUCUUCUUUCAAUGCCUUUCCAUUGUUUGGACCAGUUAGCAAGAAUGUGUCAUACACAUAUUUUUUAUUCUGUAUUUGACAGCAACUCAUGAAUAGCAGUGUCAAGACCCUUCAACAAAAUAUAAAAACAUUAGGUGACAUAAUAACAAAUUAAGUAAAAUCAGAUAAAAAAGAGAGAAGAGAGAAAAAAGUUACCUUCUGCAUAUCAGAAAUAGUUGUUAAUUCUGUCCCAUCUCCAAGCUCAAGAUCAUCCUUUACUAGCCUAAUAAACCAUCUCCAAGUGAAGUUAUUUUCAACUUCAACCACUGCCCAAGCCAGUGGUAGCAUCUGGUUGUUCCCAUCUUUGCAAACUGCUACAAGUAAUUGUCCUUUGCAAAUACCUUUCAAAAAACAACCAUCAAACCCAAUACAUCUUCUACAUCUAGCUUUGAAUGCUUUCUUCAAAGCAUCAAAACAAAUAUAAAAUGCCUGAAAUCAUCUUCUUCCCUUUUCAAAAGUUUCUUCACUAAGCCUUACCACACAUGUGCUUCCUGGAUUAGACUUCAAAAGUUUAUCCAUAUAUCCAAUAUUCUUUUAAAUUCCUCUAUAUGAUCACCCAUAAUUUCUUGGAAGACAAUAGUUUUGGCUUUUCUUGCAACAUUUCUACCAACAUACACCUGCAAAUCCGUUUUUACCAAAUUCUGUAAUUGAAAAACUCUAAUCCUGGCUCAGAAAUAAUAUUGUCCUUGUACCUUUCUGCUAAGUAUUUUGAAUUGACCAAUUUAUUUUUGGUUGUGGCAGUACAUUUAUGGACUGAAAUAUAAUUUUUCACAACAAAAUCCCCUGUCCUUGAAUCAUGACUACCAAACAAUAACCAAGGACAACCAUAUGCACAUUUUACCCUCACCCUAGUUGGUUCAUUAAUAAACUUGUCCAAUUCUACAUGUUCUUGAACUGCAUACCUAGUAAUAGCUUCUCUGAAUUGCUUAACAUUUUCAAAACAUAAACCAGUUUCCCAAAUAACUAACCUACAAGUAGGAUCAAACACAAUUUUUUCUUUAGGUUUUUUUUGCUCUCUUUGUCUUUUUCCCACUACUUGAAGCCUGUUGGACCUCAUCUUCAACAUCAACAUCUACAUCACUGUCUAUUUCAAAGCUAGCCUCUUCAUCUGAAUAAAAAUAUGGCUCAUCACCACCUAUCUUAUCCUUCAAAGUAUUUUUUUCUGGAUAACUACUCAUCAUAUCCAAUAUCAACUCCUUUUUUGCCUAAUUUAACCCCUUCAGCUUUAGGACACCUUUUUUUUCCUUUUUAGUUUGGCAGCUCUUUUACUUUCCCUCAAAUUCCUAACCUUUCAUGAACAUCACUGCCAUAUUCAUCAUCAAUUUCAUCAAUCAAGUCUCCAUAACUUGAAUCUUCACUAUUUUCACUUGCACUUUCUUAAUUAGAUUCUCCACCCACAUGGGUUUCAUAUUCAAGAGCAAAAGCAGGGGGGACCACAUUAGGUUCUUCAAUUAAAUGUGACAUAUAUAGUUGAACAAUAUCUCCAUUUUUCAAUUUGGGUACAAUACCCAAAAUAUGCCUAUCAGAUGUAACUUUAAUCAACUUAGAAGACUUAGGUGGUCUAAUAUUAACCACACAAGAUGAACAAUUAUACCCAAUUUCUUUGACAUAUCCUACAAACACAUAAUAAGAGAAUCUAUCAACAUCUACAUCUAAACAAUCUGUAACAAUACCUCCGACAUAUUUAAUUCGAGGUUUUUGUUGUAAAAUUCUUCCAUGGUGAAACCUUAAUGUAAUGUGCACAAAAUUCAUUUUCAAACUGCCAAAAAGUCAGAAAAGAUACAUGCAUUAGCAAAAAUUAAGAAAACAACAACAAAAAAAUCCUAAAUCCUUCAAAAAACGAAUGGGUUAAAACCCUAUACUAUGUAAAUGAAAAAUACCUCCAAGAUUUCAGUUUUGGGAACAAAUACGUUGAUUCAACUGAAAAAUCCUUCAAGAAUUUCAGUAUUUUUGGGCACAAAUAUGUGGGUUCAAUCGAUUAGGUCAAUUGAUUGGGAUGAAAAUGAAGAUAAAUGACGGGAGUUGAAGGGUUUGGGGUUAUUUCAUUAAAGCGGGUCGGGUAUUUGAUUAAAACGGGUCAACAUUUUAAUUAAAUAUACAUUGGAUCGGGUUAUGUGGGGAUCGAAUUUAUUAAAUGGCAUGGACCAAUUAAAUAGUGCAUGGUCCUACAAUAUAAAGGCUUGACCUGGUUGAGUGGACGAGAGGGUGAAAAUAAUAGAGUUUGAAGUUUUUAAGGGGGGUAAAUAAACGCGUGUUAAGUUUAAGUGAUAAAAAAAGUUGCAGUAACAAGUUUAGGGGGGUUUUGAUGCAUUAUCUCUAACUAAUAUAAAGAUAAAUAAAUAAAGGCAUUGCAGAUUUUAACUAAAGCCAUACAAAAAAUUCAAUCAAAGACGAACAUCUAUUGAAAAAAAAGUCUGAUUAAAGGGCAAACUAGCCAAAAAUGUCCUAUUUUAGGAUAGACAAACCCAAUUCAUGUUUGCAAAAUUUUAAAAACUAAGGUAGAUUUUUUUUCCCUUUUCCUUUUUUUUUCUUUUUCUUCUUUUUUUUUUUUCAAGAAAUAUAAAAAAGGCAAAAUGCAGUGCUUAACUAAUUAAGAAAAAAAUGGUAAAAGCAAAAAUAUCAUCCAGUGCUUAAAUGGUAAAUAAGUGCAUUGUGGUAUAUGCAGGUAAAGACAAAGAAUGCAGUGCCUAAAUAACAAAAUAAAUGCAUUGAAAUGUGCAAAUAAAUAUAAAAAUGACAUGCAGUGCUUAAAUUAUAAAACAAAUGCAUUGCGAUAUGUACAAGGAAAAGCCAAUAGGGCAUACGGUGUUUAAAUAAUAAAACAAAUGCAUUGCGAUAUUUGUGAAGCAUGUCGUGUCUAAAUGAUAAAUAAAUGCAUUGUGAUAUAUGUAUUCAGAGCUUAAAUAAUAAAAUAAAUACAGUGCGAUAUGUGUAAGCAAAGUCAAAGAUGACAUGCAAUGCUUAAGCAAUAACAUAAAUGCAUUACGAUAUUUGCAAGGCGUGCAGUGGUUAAACGAUAAAAUAAAUGCAUUGCGAUAUUUGCGAGGCAUGCAGUGCUUAAAGGAUAAAAUAAAUGCAUUGCGAUAUAUGCAUGCAGUGCUUAAAUACAUAGCAAUAUUCGUCGAUAAAGGAAGAAUGACAUGCGAUGCUUAAAUGAUAAAAUAAAUGCAUUGUGAUAUGUGUCAGGAAAGGCCAAGAUGGCAUGCGGUGCUUAAAUGAUAAAAUAAAUGCAUUGCAGUGCCAAAAUACAUAGCAAUAUGCGCCAAUAAAGGUAAAGAUGAUAUGCGGUGCUUAAAUAAUAAAAUAAAUGCAUUACGAUAUGUGUCGGCAAAGGUAAAAAUAGCAUGCGGUGCUUAAAUGAUAAAAUAAAUGCAUUGCGAUGCGUGCAAAUAAAGGCAAGGAUAGCAUGCAAUGCUUAAAUGAUAAAAUAAAUGCAUUGCGAUGUGUGCAAAUAAAGACAAAAAUAGAUUAUACUGCUUAAACAAUGAAAAAAAUGCAUUGCAGUGUGUGCAAGUAAAGGUAAAGAUAAAAUGUGAUGCGUAAACAAUAAAAUAAAUGCAUUACGGUGUUUCAAGGCAAAGACAAAAGAAAGCAGUGCUUACAUAAUAAAAUAAAUGCAUUACGAGAUGUGCAAAUAAAGGCAAGAAAAUCAUACAGUGUUUAAAUAACAAAUGAUAAAAUAAAUACAUUGCGAUGGGUGCAAAUAAAGAAACAAAUAGCAUACAGUGCAAAAAGAAAUAAAUAAAGUGUGAUAUGUGCAAAUAAAGGCAAGCAAACAUAAAUAUUUAACUAAAGAAAAACAUGCAUAACUGUCUUAUUGGAGGGUAGACUGUCCCAAUUGUCCUAAUUUAGGGUGGACAAACCCAUAAAAAAUAAUAAUUAUUGAGCAAAGAAUUAUUUGGGAAUAAAAGUAUUUGCAUAUUCUCGGUGUUUCUUUCAAAAUUGCCCCAGUAUCGAGUUUUGAGAUGCUGGGGGAUGCAAGAUUAUGUACUAGCAAGGAAGAUACAAUGAUUGUAGGGUUGCGAUUACCGAACUCUGCAUAGAACUUCCUACAUAUCUCGAGUGUUAUGAAAAUCAGGUCAAUGUAGUGAGGUGACUGAAAUCUAAUAGCCUCUCGAAAUGCAAAAGAUACUAAAAAUGAGAACUUAACUGAAAAAUAAAAUGCUGGUAUUUAAAGGUAUGUGCAUGAAAGGAAAGUUCAAAAGCCCGUAUUUGAAAAUUGGGCAUCUCGAAUGGAAAGUAAAAAAUGCAUCUAUGUGAAAGUGGGCAUCUUGAAUGAAAAGCAAACAAAUGCUCGUAUGUGAAAGUGGGCGUCUUGAAACAGAAAGAUUUUUUUUUUUGUAUUUUUCGGUGAAAAAUGCUGAAAAAUAAAGAAGACAUGAUCGUCUUGACUACAGUUGAUACCAAUAAUUAGUGUUGGGUUCGAAAUCGAGAGGGCGUCAUGCAGAAGCUAUUAGUUGCAAACCAUUGUGGAGACAAUUCAGAAGACACAUAAAACAAUACUAAAAAGCGUAAUAUUAUUCUAUUAUUUGGUCAAUUAUCCUACAUAUAAAACCUAAUAAAAAACAUAAAAACUAAUGAGAGAGAAAAUCUCCCCUUAAACAAAGACUUUUUAACGACUACAUUGUGGAUGUUAUUGUGUUAUGGCAUGAGAAGAGGGUCGUCUAUUUAUAUAUGUCCAAAACCUUUCCUCUUAUAAAGAGGUUAGCCAAAUAUGGAAAAAAUUUAUAUUUGCCUUUCAGGAAAAGUAAAAGUAAUUAUGGUUACUUUUAUUUUCCUUUCAAGAAAAAGUAAAACUUAACUUUUGUAAGAAAAUCAGGGCAAAAACUCUAACAAAUCUCCCCUUUUUGGUUUGAUUUUCUGACAAAAUAUUCUUGAUCCUCUUUCUUCACACGAUCUUCAUAUAUCAACAAUCUUCAUAUAUCACUACUGCUUACCAUGAUUAAAAGUUGACAUGGGUUGAAAAUUGGACCCCUAUGCGUUGAAAAUAAAAGCAUGGGUUAAUAUUAUUGAAGCCUCGUGUUAUAAGUAACAGAGUUGAAAGUGGAGCCUUGUCCAUUGAAAAUGAGCACAGGUUAAUAGUGAAGCUCAUGCGUUAAAAAUAAAUGCACGAGUUGAAAGGAUCCCUAGCAUAAAAGUAAGCAGGGGUUGAAAGUUAAAUCCCAUAAACAUGGGUUAAAAAUUGAUUUUGUUUUAAUGAUGGAUUGGUAGUAGGAUUGUUGAAAAUUUGCUUAGAACUUUUUCUCCACAUGUAGUUUUUGGACAUAUAUCUUCAUUACCAUCAAAUUUGUUGCAACUUUGUUCUCAACAUGUCCUCAAUCUGAACCAUCGGAUCUUUGAACCAUAGGCUCUGAUACCACUUGUUGGGUUCGAAAUUGAGAGGGCAUCAUGCGGAAGCUGUUAGUUGCAAGCUAUUGUGGUGACAAUUUAGAAGACACAUAAAAUAAUACUAAAAAGAUUAAUAUUAUUAUAUUAUUUGGUCAAUUGGCUUAUAUAUAAAACCUAAUAUUAAAAACAUAAAAACUAAUGAGAGAGAAAAUAUCCCCCUACACAAAGACUUUUUAAAGACAACAUUGUGCAUGCUAUUGUGUUAUGGCAUGAGAAGGAGGUCUUCUAUUUAUAGAGGUCCGAAACAUUUCCUCUUAGAAAGAGGUUAGCCAAAUAUGGAAAAAUUUUAUAUUUUCCUUUCAAGAAAAUUAAAACUAAUUAUGAUUACUUUUAUUUUCCUUCCAAGAUAAAGUAAAACUUUAUUUUGGUAAGAAAAUUAGGACAAAAAUCCUAACAAAUGCUCGAAUUUGACAAUUGGACAUCUCUAAUGGAAAGUAAAAAAUGCAUGUAUGUGAAAGUGGGCACCUUGAAUGAAAAGCAAAAAAAAUGCUCGUAUGUGAAAGUGGACAUCUUGAAAAAGAAAGAAUUUUUUUUCGUAUUUGGUGAAAAAUGAAGAAGAUAUGGUCGUCUUGACUUCAGUUGGUACCAAUAAUUAGCAGAGUGCAUAAUAAUUCCUCCAUAUAUUUCCCAUCUAACUGAGAUCGACUUUAGGGUAACUCCUAUAGUUUCAAGUGGUGCCUCAGAAACACCUAAGUAUCGACAAGAUUUUUCAUCCUUCUUCAAACAAUGGUUUCAAACUAAACCUAUUCUCAUGUUUCAAGUGCCCUCUCCAAAAAGAAAGUCUCAUUUCACACAUACUUGAGUAAUUUUCUUUUGAAUUUAGGGACGUCUCAAGAAAUACACUCACACUCAGAACGGAAUUCAAUGCAUGCAAUUAUGAUACCCUAGGCUUGAACCUUAUGUAAGUAUCCACUAAUGUGAGAACGCUUGGAAUAGGAUCUCGUAGGACUUGCUAUCGGCUUAUGAUGUAGGCUUGCGGAUGGGUAGGAUAAUGUUUGGGAUGAAAGUGACUAAUUCCUCAAUGAGCAUUACACUGCAUUUGUGCUUUUGACGUUUAGUUGUGCUUCGUUGUCCCUUGUUUUGCAUUUGCUUCAACUUCUUUUGAAUUUUGCAUUGGAGUUUUUUUUCCUUUUUUUUAAGAAACUAUAUAUUUUUGUUCUUUUUUUUUCUCUUUUUUUAUGGGGUUUGGCUCCUUUUGAAGUUGUUUUUUUUUUAUUCUUGUUCAUCUGAACAACAUAUUCUUUGCAUUUUGCAUCUUUGAUCUUGAAUUUUCGUUCGCAAUUUUCACGUAUUUAGUGUGCUCAAGGAGGUAGGACCAAGAGAGGGAUAGUGCAUGUAGCACUCAAAAAGCUAUAGGCACAAAUGUGGUUAUCCAAAAAAGUUUUAGGCUCAAAAGGGGGAAUGCUAGGGAUCAAUGUUAUUUGAAAGGUUGUAAAAGGCUCAAUUGGUCCAAAGAAGGCCUACAAUCAUUUCCUAAAUCAAGUGCAACUCAAAAUUUUUCCUCAACAAACAUUAAGACCAAGUUCUAGAUCAACAAUGCAAUACAAUGAAUUAAACUAAAGUUCUCCACACAAUGCACAUGAAAUGAUGAGGUUGGUUUCAUUCUUGUAUUAAAUGUAUGCAAGAGAAUUUUCAAACGUUACUCAGGUUUGAUAAAAUGUAUCAAAAGAUUCUAUGAUUUACCGUAAAGUCAGUCCUUUUCAUCAUACCAAUUUGUUCUUUCUCAUGCACACUCCUAACUGUAUUGGUACCCACAAAGUUAAAUUUUUUAUUAUUUUUCUAAAAGAAUGAGAUUGAACCCAAUUGAGGGUUGCCUACUUAUCUUGUGAAAAAAAGAAUCAAGUCUGCGUAGUUCAGACAAAUUUGCGAACUUAUAUGUAACAUGGUGUAAUUGUAAGAAAUGAUGGUCAUCCUUAAAAAUAAUACGAAAGACGACCAGGAAAGAACUGUUUUUAAUAUCAAAACUAUUUUGAUCAAAUGAUCAAGAGAAUGGAUGUCAUGCAUGGGAAGAGUUUUUACGCAAUUUCAGUAUGCUGACAAGAUUGAAAAAGUCAGACAUUGAAAGAAUUAUGAUAUUAUUUCGCCGCAAUUAGCGGGAUUAUCAUAACUGAAAAAUAUAAACCUUGCUUUUAAAAGUGAAGAUAGAUACGCCAUAAAUUUAAUGGUUUACGACGUUCGAAAGAAAAAACUAGGCAUACCUUGAAUCAAAAUUGAGUGAAGAAUUAAAGGUAGGCCGACUAAGUACUAAUGUAAUUAAGAUUUGGAUUUGAGGAGCUAUUGAUUUUGCUCUUGAAGAAUUUGAAGAGCAUUUUUGAACUGUUUCAGAAAAUUGCCCCAGUUUUAAAUAUCGGAGAAAUUAUUCUAAAAUAGUGAAGAGACCGAACCUUAAUGCAGGGUUGCCUGCGUAUCUUGCCAAGACAAGAAUCAAGUCAAAAAGUAGUUCAAACCUAUACGCAGCUAUUGACAAUAUUGCUAAAGUGUAUCAUUUAACUGAUAUGCCAUGCAAAACAAAUGUUAGAUUACACCUUCUCAUUAAAGAAUAACAAAUUUAGAGAAAAUAAAUAUGUACAGACACAAUAAUCCUUUAAAUAUAUUUUAGCUAUAUCCUAUGUUAACUAAGAGUGGGUAGACACAGACUUGAAUUUCCUAUAUGAGAAUGCACGUGGUCCCAUGGCAGUAAAACUCCCGCUCACCCCAAGUAUGCGCCAACUCUCUAAAAUAAGGUGAUUUGAAAGAAUUUUGGGAAAGUACAAUGUAAAAUCCGCGUGUACAAUGUGUGUGAGUGUCAAUUUUUUAAAAUGGAGAAUAUGAACGGAGUGCCAAUUUAAUAAAUCGAAAAACAAAUAAAUAAUAUAUACAAAAUAAUAACAAAUAAAAAAUUUAUGCCAUAUAAAAAAAAUGAAUUAAGAUAAUUAAUAUGAAACAAAUAAAUAUAAAAACAUAAAUAUUUACCUAAGUCUAUAGUGGUUAGAGCCUUGAAUCCCCAACAGAAUCACCAAACUGUUUUACCCGAUUUUUACCUAAGAUCAAAACGAUCACGACAUUAUGGACUUUAACAGAAUAAAUUUUAUACAGAGUCGCCACCUAAUUUUUAAGGAAAAUAAGGAAAUCUAUUAAUUUAUUAACAUGUAUAAUUUGUGUUUUAGUCGACGAACCAGUUUAGAUUCUAGGUAAGGGUUCAAAUUAUUCAUAAGGGAAGGGACUAGGCACCCUUCAGAAUUCACAAAUGCGGUUCCAGGCCAGACUAAGAUUUAUUAUUAAAAGAUAAAAAGAAAAAUCAAUGUCUACAAAUACAAAAAUAAUAUAAUACAUGUGUUAUUGCAAAAUAUAUAUAUAAAUGUACGUAAAGAUGUAUAAACAAAUAUAUAUAAGGAUAUAAAAAAGAAAGGCAAAGAUUGAAUAAAAAAAAUAUUUUUUAAAUAAAAAAUUACAUAAUAUUUUUUAGUGUAAAAAGUGUGAAUAAUUUAAUCAAAUAUCUAAAUUAAUUUUAAUAUAAAUAUUAACGACCUAAAUUUGUCUAACGUGUGGUAAGGAUUAUAUAAAUAAAGAACAUCCUCGCCCAACACCCCAAAAAUAAAGAUUUCACUUUAAUUAAUAUUUGUACCAUGAUAAGAAUAAAAAAAAUACAAAUACAAAAAAAAUUAAAGCUCUUCUUUGAAUAUCAUUCCCGAUAAACAUUCCUGAGAACCUGUAUAAAUACUUGUAAUAAAAAUGUUAGUAACAAAUAAAUAAUUAUUGAAAUAAAUUGAGAACGUAUGUGUGCAUAUAUGUAUAAAAAACUAUAAUUUUUCGUUAAAAGUUGGGCUCAGAUAAGAUUUUAAAUACGACAUGACUACGAAGUAGUUACUGAUUUAUUAGUCGUCCUAAAUCGUCUUGCCACGAUACGAAUCAUAAAACUUUAUGCAUUGUUAUAAAAAUUUUGUCAUCGCCCAAAUUUAUUUAUUUUAUUAUGUAUUUAUACACAUAAUAUCCAUUUUUUAUUUGUGCAGGCCUCAAAAAUCAAGAAAAAAUUUCUUCAUCAGCCAAGCAUAUUUGCCAGUAUUUUUCCUAGAAUAAUCAUCCAACAAUAUAAAAAAAAGAGGUCAGCAAGCUAAACGAUGAAAAACACUGAGUUGUCACAAAGACACAACAGAGCCAAACCAUCAACAAUGCAGCACAAGUAGGGUCAGUGAGUAAUAUUAUCCAAAAAUUAUACUAAAUCAUCAAAACAAAUCAAAACAGCCCGGUAAAUCAUUAGAAAACAUAUAAGAACACUAAAACACAUUUAAGUAUAUAUGAUAAAUUAUAAAAGGGCAAAAAUUGGGUAGCCAAUUUUAAUGAAGCUUUGCCAAAAAAUUGUGGUGGUGCGGCUGGUGAGGGGGGAAGGGGGCAGUAUUGAUGGUGGUGGCUCGCUGGAGCUCAGUGGUGGAGCAGCCAUGGAUGGUGAAAAAAGGAGAAAAUGCCUUAGUUUUUGAAAGAAAGACAGACGUGAGUUUGAGAGAGAAGAUCUGAUGUGGGA
rnacentral:lncRNA from 1 species